rnacentral:rRNA from 1 species
UACGUAGGGUGCAAGCGUUAAUCGGAAUUACUGGGCGUAAAGCGUGCGCAGGCGGUGAUGUAAGACAGUUGUGAAAUCCCCGGGCUCAACCUGGGAACUGCAUUUGUGACUGCAAGGCUGGAGUACGGCAGAGGGGGAUGGAAUUCCGCGUGUAGCAGUGAAAUGCGUAGAUAUGCGGAGGAACACCGAUGGCGAAGGCAAUCCCCUGGGCCUGUACUGACGCUCAUGCACGAAAGCGUGGGGAGCAAACAGG